CAAAAAGAUUGAUGAUUGGAACCGUAUUUACUGUUAAUAAUUCAGAAACGUAAAGGACCCGCAUCGCCAUUGCCAGCUCUAGUGGGAUAUACUCGCUGUGGCUAUACUUUUGUAUUGAAAGGGUUGGUUUUUCCUCAGUGGAAGCGACGACCUUUAGCUGUCAUCGGCUCCAGACUCUUCCUUUAUCCGGAACGAUCCUGUCACCGAACAGGAUGCGUGCCGUGGAUCAAGAAUUUCUUCGGCCGAAAGGAUUUAUCGUCCUGACGUGCAAUUACGUCGCCGAACAUUCAGAUACGCGCGUCGCUAUCGCGCGAAAGAAAAAUGGCAUUGCUUGUAGAACAAGAACUGUAUUUACAGCAUGGAUAAGUAAUAUAGCGAAUUGAAAUAAAUGAAAUAUUGAUUGUUAUGAAUAGAAUACGCUCUAUUCUUGCCCGUCUAAUAAACCCAUUUAACG